GGAGUUAGCCGGUGCUUCUUCUGUGAGUGAUGUCCUUCCUGCCGGCUAUUAACCCGCAGGCCUUCUUCCUCACUGAAAGUGCUUUACAACCCGAAGGCCUUCUUCACACACGCGGCAUGGCUGGAUCAGGGUUGCCCCCAUUGUCCAAUAUUCCCCACUGCUGCCUCCCGUAGGAGUCUGGGCCGUGUCUCAGUCCCAGUGUGGCUGAUCAUCCUCUCAGACCAGCUACGGAUCGUCGCCUUGGUGAGCCGUUACCUCACCAACCAGCUAAUCCGACAUAGGCUCAUCCGAUAGCGCGAGGCCCGAAGGUCCCCCGNUUUCCCCCGUAGGGCGUAUGCGGUAUUAGCCUGGGUUUCCCCAGGUUAUCCCCCACUACCGGGCAGAUUCCUAUGCAUUACUCACCCGUCCGCCGCUCGCCACCAGGGAGCAAGCUCCCCGUGCUGCCGCUCGACUUGCAUGUGUUAGGCCUGCCGCCAGCGUUCAAUCUGAGCCAUGAUACCAACNCUGA
rnacentral:rRNA from 1 species